rnacentral:rRNA from 1 species
UACGGAGGGGGCUAGCGUUGUUCGGAAUUACUGGCGUAAAGCGCGCGUAGGCGGACCUGCAAGUCGGGGGUGAAAGCCCGGAGCUCAACUCCGGGACUGCCUUGGAUACGGAUCGCUUGAGGAUUGGAGAGGCAAGGGGAAUUCCACGUGUAGCGGUGAAAUGCGUAGAUAUGUGGAGGAACACCUGUGGCGAAGGCGCCUUGCUGGCCGAAUUUCUGACGCUGAGGCGCGAAAGCGUGGGGAGCAAACAGG